ACCCACUGUAUGAACAUGACACAUCCUUUCUUGCUCACCCAGCACACGGCAUUCCUGUAAGCCUCAUACUGUCGAGUUGUUUGACGAGAUGUGCAUCAAUAAUUUCAGUUAGUCCGUGUGCUCGAUUUGAGUGUGACAGGUAUGUCGUUGUGUGCUUCUCAGUACAGUAGAGGUACCACGCGGGGUGGUGACUGGGAGGCUGGGACAUGCUGGCACGACCAAACAGCUGGUUUACUGCAAUCAGGAUGCUAGAGGCUCUUGGGGUUGCAGCCCGCUCGCCUGCUGGAGGUAAGUUUUAUAGCCUCUUUCUGUCAGUAGAUGCUCUUGGAGUAGAGAUAUCAUCCAGACUGUAUCUUUAGUGAAACUUGUAGCUAUGCAGCUUGGCCCUACUAUUCAUGUACUAUCUCAUAUUCUCAUGCAUUAGGUUUUGUAAAGUUUCAGCUCGUCCCUAUGCCAUGUUAAUUGUUAGUGUUUCCUUAAAUAUUAUCUGCAUCGUUCUCUAGAAAAACAUAUUAUGUCUGUGCUCUCCUUUCUCUAUCUAAAAAAUCCAUUAAUGAGCAAGGACAUGCAUAGGGAUAUGGGUUCUUUCUACUGAUGCAUAACUCUGUAAUGAUGAAAAGAAGAGCAACAUAUCUCCUUUACCCAACAAUUUUUGUCCGAAACUAAUCAUGAUAUUUUCUUUCUACAGGUACAAUGUUGAUUAUUUAGAGACCUCAUCUUCAUGAGACUAGCAAGGGAUGGACAUUCUGAAGAAGAAGAGAUGAGGUGAGUUUCUGAAGUUCACCGUCCAAUCCAAGUAUUAAAGGUGAGCAUUACUAUUCAAAGGGACAUAAUUAACCUGUUAAAUUAUUUUUAGAGCAAGAAACCAGUUAUUAUCUAACCGAAUAACUAUAAAAUAGCUACUUUUUCUAAAAUGAGGUUUCGUCUUUAAAUAGAGAUGGACCAGAGAAGGGGCUUGAGAAAUGCUUAUUAGGCUAGAGGCGUAUGAUUUUUUUUCUCCCGUUGCAACGCACGGGCAUGUUUGCUAUAAUAAUAAAGCAUUCAGUGGAGGGGCUUAGAAAAAUAGAAACAGUUCUAUUUGACAUACAAUGUACUUCAGAAAUUAAUGGCUGGAGAAUCCUAAACUAACAUAUGGCAUUUUGUUUCAAUUUCUCUUUACCUGAUUGUGUUACUUAUGCACAAGCACCAUACUUGAUAUAGGUCCCUGCACUUCCGUUGACGAGUAUUUUGUCAGCAUCUCGAUGCGGAGGUACAACUUCUAGCUGAUCUUCGUCAUGUUUUACAUUGUUUCUCGGUACUUUUUACUGCAAUGUGGAGGUCAGAUUCUAGCUGAUAUAUCUUCAUGCUUUACCUUGUUUACCAAUGUCCCAAUGUGGACGUAAAGAUUCUAGCUGAUAUAUCUUCAUGUUUUACCUUGUUUACCAAUGUCCCAAAAUUUUGUUUCGUCUUUGCUUUGAAUUAAUUUUCCCUUACUUUGACUGGGUAGGACAUUUAUUUGAAAUACUAAAUUGUGGUGUCGCUACCUCUAAGGACCACAGCGUUGUAGCGCCCUUGGCUCAAGGUGACCAUCUUCAGCGCAUCGUGGUGUCGCUGCCCACACGAUCUCUACAGACACCACAAAAGGCUACAGGACCGAGGAGGCCGGUGGCCUGACCACUGAAUCACGUUGUCGUGCGGGCGCCUUGAUCUCGCAUGCGCUGCACAGGUUAGAUUGACAUUUUGCCCUGUGUUUAAUUACUACAUGCACUGCACACUGAUCCAUGUAUAUAUUGGCUCCCCUAUAUAUACCUCUGUUGGUGAAAAGUUUUGACUUUCUCGAGUUUUGUCAGACGUGAGUUGCAACAAUUUUCAGUUACUUUUCUAUGCCUGCCAUUUAUCUCUGAACCGUUGUGAUGGAGAUUGUAAUACUGUGUUUAGAAUAUGUCAGUCCAUAUGCAAGAUCUUCUUUUCAACUUGGCAACCAUGAUUAUACGUUAGUCAUCUAUACUUUACAAGCAUAUGAGAUAUGUGUAAUUUUUUUUUGCGGGAAGAUAUGUGUAAUUAAUGUGUUCGUCGGAG
rnacentral:lncRNA from 1 species